rnacentral:rRNA from 1 species
GCGAGGCCGAAAGGCGUAGUCGAUGGGAAACAGGUUAAUAUUCCUGUACUUGGUGUUACUGCGAAGGGGGGACGGAGAAGGCUAUGUUAGCCGGGCGACGGUUGUCCCGGUUUAAGCAUGUAGGCUGGUUAUCCAGGCAAAUCCGGAUAAUCAAGGCUGAGGUGUGAUGACGAGGCACUACGGUGCUGAAGUAACAAAUGCCCUGCUUCCAGGAAAAGCCUCUAAGCAUCAGGUAACAUCAAAUCGUACCCCAAACCGACACAGGUGGUCAGGUAGAGAAUACCAAGGCGCUUGAGAGAACUCGGGUGAAGGAACUAGGCAAAAUGGUGCCGUAACUUCGGGAGAAGGCACGCUGGUGUGUAGGUGAAGCCCCUGCGGGUGGAGCUGAGACCAGUCGAAGAUACCAGCUGGCUGCAACUGUUUAUUAAAAACACAGCACUGUGCAAACACGAAAGUGGACGUAUACGGUGUGACGCCUGCCCGGUGCCGGAAGGUUAAUUGAUGGG